AAAGUUUUAAGUUAUAAAAACUAUAAGCCUUCAAAGCUAAAAAAACUAAAUGUAAACUUUA
rnacentral:tRNA from 1 species